UGCCACAUUUCAGCCUGUUGAUUGCUGGAAUAUGCAGUUGUGUUUUUUGUUUGUUUGAGACAGGCUCUCGAGCUCUGUCACCCAGGCUGGAGUGCAGUGGCGUGAACAUGGCUCACUGCAGCCUCAAUCUCCCGAGCUCAAGCAAUCCUCCUACCUCAGUCCCCCAAGUAGCUGGGACUACGGGUACAUGCCACCACACCCAGUAAUUUUAUUUUUUGUAGAGACGGGGUCUCACUAUGUUGCCCAGGGUGGUUUCGAACUCCUGAGCUCAGGUGAUCUGCCCGCCUCAGCCUCCCAAAGUAUUGGGGUUACAGACAUGAGCCACAGGACCCGGGCCUUGGAAUACGCAGUUGAAGAUGUGGAAGACUCCAGCCCUGAAGUUGAAAGCCACUGGUCUAGAUAAGGCUUUGCUCCAUUAGUUCCAGAGGAGUGCUUCUCUUCUAAUGUUAAAUUACAUCUGUGCUUUAUGCACCUGGACACUUGACUAUGAACUUGACUAUCUCAUGUAACUCACAGUAGCUUCACCUGCUGAUAUUCUGUCAUUCCAACAAGACUGAAAGCCCCUUAAAGGUAGACUUGGUGUCAACACUUCCAUGAAUCCCACCAUUAGCUGAUCUCCUUGAGAGGAGGUAAUGGGAUAUUUGGUGGUUG
rnacentral:lncRNA from 1 species